AGUGAACGCUGGCGGUAGGCCUAACACAUGCAAGUCGAACGGCCGCACAGUAAGAGCUUGCUCUUACGGGUGGCGAGUGGCGGACGGGUGAGGAAUACAUCGGAAUCUACUUUUUCGUGGGGGAUAACGUAGGGAAACUUACGCUAAUACCGCAUACGACCUACGGGUGAAAGCAGGGGAUCUUCGGACCUUGCGCGAUUGAAUGAGCCGAUGUCGGAUUAGCUAGUUGGCGGGGUAAAGGCCCACCAAGGCGACGAUCCGUAGCUGGUCUGAGAGGAUGAUCGGCCACACUGGAACUGAGACACGGUCCAGACUCCUACGGGAGGCAGCAGUGGGGAAUAUUGGACAAUGGGCGCAAGCCUGAUCCAGCCAUACCGCGUGGGUGAAGAAGGCCUUCGGGUUGUAAAGCCCUUUUGUUGGGAAAGAAAAGCAGCAGGUUAAUACCCCGCUGUUCUGACGGUACCCAAAGAAUAAGCACCGGCUAACUUCGUG
rnacentral:rRNA from 1 species